UUUUAGAAUUUAAUUUAAAGUCUAACCUGCCCACUGAAUAAUUUUUAAAUGGCCGCAGUAUCCUAACUGUGCAAAGGUAGCAUAAUCAUUAGUCUUUUAAUUGAAGGCUGGAAUGAAUGGUUGGAUGAAAUAUUAACUGUUUCAUAAAAAUUUAUAAUAGAAUUUAAUUUUUUAGUCAAAAAGCUAAAAUAUUAUUAAAAGACGAGAAGACCCUAUAAAUCUUUAUAUUUAGAUAAUUUUAAUUAUUUAGAUAAAUUAAAUUAUAAUUAUUUUAAAUAUUUUAUUGGGGUGAUAUUAAAAUUUAAUAAACUUUUAAUUUAUAAUUAACAUAAAUUAAUGAAUUAUUGAUCCAUUUAUUAUGAUUAAAAAAUUAAGCUACUUUAGGGAUAACAGCGUAAUUUUUUUAGAGAGUUCAUAUUGAUAAAAAAGAUUGCGACCUCGAUGUUGGAUUAAGAUAUAGUUUUAGGUGCAGUAGCUUAAAUUUAAAGUCUGUUCGACUUUUAAAUUCUUACA
rnacentral:rRNA from 1 species